CACUGUAAACAAUCUCCCUGGGCUCCAUCACAGAGCUGAGAGGCAGCUCCCCCCAGUGUCCAGCGGGCAGUAUGCACAGAUGCUUCCUCCAAACUGCAGAAGCACAUCUAUCUGGCCUUCUGGUAAACUUCGCAUAGUGGCACCCGGGGUGGCCACACGGAGGCAGCAAGAGCCCAGCAAAGGACCAACGUGGCUCCUCCUCCAAGGCCUCAGCCCCCAGGCUUGAGCACCCUCCCCCUCUCCCGACCACUACAGCUCUGCUGGGGCGGAUCCCGCCCAGAGCCUAUUGAGUUUAAGGAGAAACAGAAAGCACCUUUGCAAAAAAAGAAAAAAGAAAAAAAAAAGAGCCAGUCACAGCUGCAGCAGCGCCGGCCCACUUCUCCCCAGGACCGAGACCAUGACGAGCUUGCCUAGGAAGCUGGAGCUUGCCCUCCCCAUAUUCCUGUCUGGGCUUUGAGGUCCUGUGUUGAUAUUAGAACAUCUGGAACAUCAACCUUCAUCUGUGCCCAAGCUUCAUCGCAGGGAUCAUGAAGAACAGUGGUAGAGAAGUAUCCCAUGGAAGAGAAUGAGUGCCCAAUGAGGGGUUUUACAAAAGAGCUGGCUCCAAAAAUGAAUUGAAUGACUCACCCACAGGGAACAGACCACCUGCUUUGCUACCCCAAAAGGGCAAAUACAUGUUCAUGGACCUCCAGCACCUAAGGAAGUUUUACCAGGUUCCCAUCCAGGCACCCAAGGAUUUCCUCUCUGUCAUAUUAGAAAAAGGAUGAAGAUAUCACCGAACCCCAGAGCAUCUUGGCUACCUUUGGGCUUCCCAUCAUAGUGGUCCAUUUGGAUAACCAGUUUGACAUGCUCUUUGACUCUGACAGGAUGGAACUGCUGGCUCAUCUGCUAGGAGAACAGUGGCAGGGCCCAGUGCCCAGCACUGUGAAAGGCAAACUCUGAGCACUUACAGAAGAAGAGGAGCUGCUUAACCCUAGGAGCCAGACCCUUCCUCCCCACAACACUCUCAUCAAGGAAUCCAGGAUGCUGGUGCUCUGUAUUCCCAUAUUCUCAAGUUUGGGGGAUAUAUGACAUGGUAUCCUGAGCUUGCAGUCCUGGGAUUGUCUUAUUCCUACUGCUCACAAAUAAGUGCCUUAGGGAGGGCCCCAACCUUCAUUGUUUCAACCAAAUAAACUCCCCAUUGCGAUAGA